UGCCUCUGGGUCAUCUCCAAGGCGCUGCUUCCAGCUGUUCUAGUUUGCUUGUGCUGAGAAUAGGGUUCUGCAGACCUGCUUUUGCAACACUUAUCCUCAACUUUCAAGAGCCAAAUGAAAGGAGGGGCAGUGCUGCAUGCAGUAGGACAAGGCUCUGGGUGAAAUACCAGAAAUCAUGGAGACAUCUUUAGGAGCAUUCACUGAAGUUCAUGGUUGUGUGAGAAAGAAAAU